rnacentral:rRNA from 1 species
UACGUAGGCAGCGAGCGUUGUUCGGAGUUACUGGGCGUAAAGGGUGUGUAGGCGGUCUACUAAGUUUGGUGUGAAAUCUCCCGGCUCAACUGGGAGGGUGCGCCGAAAACUGGAAGGCUAGAGUACUGGAUGGGAGAGUGGAAUUCCUGGUGUAGCGGUGAAAUGCGUAGAUAUCAGGAGGAACACCUGUGGUGUAGACGGCUCUCUGGACAGUCACUGACGCUGAGACACGAAAGCGUGGGUAGCAAACAGG